UCAAAAUAAACACAGUCGGGCUAGCCAUGUAAGUACAUAUACAAGGUUUUCAGAAUCUGUAUUCAAAUAUUAUCUAUUUUAUGGAUUUUAGUGGCCGUCAAAGCUUUGUCUUGUAGUGUUAACUUGUUAGGUAUAGAAUGUCUAACUUUCCUUCCUUUUCCUGCCUCCUUGGAAAUAUAAAACAAUUUAUACUUUUUACCUGGUGGAUUGGAAUAUACAAUUCUAAAGUUUUCGAAGGCAAAGUUGAAAAUGGAAAAGGAUGAAUUCUAUCUAGGGCUAUUGCAUAUGCAGUUUGCAUUAUUAACCCAUUAUAAUCCUAUGUGAUUAUCUUUUUCCCCUUGUUUUUUUCUUUUUUAUUAAUUAAAAAAUGCAUCCUCAAGAUCUUCAAUAGAAAGGUACAGUAAAAUUCUGAUCCGACCAUACAUUUUCUUGUGUAAAAUGAUUUCAUUUUCUUGUUUCGGCUUCACCAUUUCUUGUUUAGCUUCUGUCUCUUGGGUGCCCAUAUUGAGCUCGAUCGAAGAAAUGGGAGAUCACAAUAAUGAAAAAUUAAAGAACAGAAAAGAAAUUAUAUAAAACCAGCAUGCUGAGUGAGCAUUCAAGCACAAGAUUAGUCAAGCCAGGCUCCAAUAGUAUGUUACAAUACACCAUGAAAAAGAAAAGGGUUAAAUGAAACUAAUCAACCAAUAUUAUACAUAGAAACACAAAGAAUAUAGAUGCUAACCUGUACUCUACACAGAGAAAGGAAAGUGGAAGUUAUGUAUGUAUGGGAAAAGCUUUAUGUAUGUAUGAGAAGAGCUUCUUGGAUUCUCUCCCAACUAAACAUUACUUCUGGUUAUCUAAUGCAAUUACUGCAAUGAGCCAUAAAAAUUACUAUACGAAAUAUCCCACAAGUAGGCUCCAUAUUCUCUGUAUGAGUAAGAAAGCAUAUAUUCUUGUAGUAUUGCAAUAUUUUUCUUAUAAAUUAUAGUUAUUGUGAUUAAAAAAUCUCUCUAAAUGUCUUGUUUAUAUGUUCCCAGAGGAUCACCGCUAUUGUAGUUAUGAAUUUUUUUAAAUAAAUUAUAGUUAUUUUUA